GAGCGUAUGGCGGAAUUGGUAGACGCGAUAGUUUGCCAAACUAUUAUCUUAAUGAUGUGCGGGUUCGAGUCCCGCUACGAAUG
rnacentral:tRNA from 2 species